rnacentral:rRNA from 1 species
UGAGCAAUCUGCCCUUCUCUUUGGAAUAAGCGUUGGAAACGACGUCUAAUGCCGAAUACGACCUCCUUUCGCAUGAUCGGAGGUGGAAAGCUCCGGCGGAGAAGGAUGAGCUCGCAGCCUAUCAGCUAGUUGGUGUGGUUAAUGGCCCACCAAGGCGACGACGGGUAGCCGGCCUGAGAGGGUGACCGGCCACACUGGGACUGAGACACGGCCCAGACUCCUACGGGAGCAG